UAGUCUGUCAUUAUUAGCAUGAA
rnacentral:siRNA from 1 species